rnacentral:rRNA from 2 species
AUCAGGGGAUAACUUCGGGAAACCGGAGCUAAUACCGGAUAAUGGAUUUCCUCUCAUGAGGAAAAGCUGAAAGACGGUUUACGCUGUCACUUACAGAUGGGCCCGCGGCGCAUUAGCUAGUUGGUGAGGUAACGGCUCACCAAGGCGACGAUGCGUAGCCGACCUGAGAGGGUGAUCGGCCACACUGGGACUGAGACACGGCCCAGACUCCUACGGGAGGCAGCAGUAGGGAAUCUUCCGCAAUGGACGAAAGUCCAGUGGAGCAACGCCGCGUGAGUGAUGAAGGUUUUCGGAUCGUAAAACUCUGUUGUUAGGGAAGAACAAGUACAAGAGUAACUGCUUGUACCUUCAGGGUACCUAACCAGAAAGCCACGGCUAACUACGUGCCAGCAGCCGCGGUAAUACGUAGGUGGCAAGCGUUGUCCGGAAUUAUUGGGCGUAAAGCGCGCGCAGGCGGUCCUUUAAGUAGUCUGUGAAAGCCCACGGCUCAA